UACGUAGGGUGCAAGCGUUAAUCGGAAUUACUGGGCGUAAAGCGUGCGCAGGCGGUUCGUUGUGUCGGUGGUGAAAGCCCCGGGCUUAACCUGGGAAUGGCCGUUGAAACUGGCGAACUGGAGUGUGGCAGAGGGGGGUGGAAUUCCGCGUGUAGCAGUGAAAUGCGUAGAGAUGCGGAGGAACACCGAUGGCGAAGGCAGCCCCCUGGGCUGACACUGACGCUCAGGCACGAAAGCGUGGGGAGCAAACAGG
rnacentral:rRNA from 1 species